AAAGUACUCCCUCCGUCCCAAAAUUCUUGUCUUAGAUUUGUCUAGAUACGGAUGUAUCAAGUCACAUUUUAGUAUUAGAUAUAUCCAUAUCUAGACAAAUCUAAGACAAGAAAUUUGGGACAGAGGAAGUAGUUG
rnacentral:pre_miRNA from 1 species